ensembl:lncRNA
CUGGUCUUAAUGAGCUAUCAGGAAUAAGAGCCUGUGCUUCUUGACACCUUUUUUUGAGAUAAGAAAACAGACUAGCCAAGCUGAAUUAUUUGUCUUGUCUUUGAACAAGUGUUAGUAGGAAAAAUUAUAAUGCAGAACUUAAUUAAGCAAAUAUGUUGGAAGAUAUACCUAAAGAUCAUCGAACAGCUACUGUUUUGAAUUGCCGGAUUUGGUCAUAGUCAGUGGGCUGCAGCUCAGGCUAGAACAUGUGCCUUAUUUUGGAAAAAUCAUGUGACGGAAUGACACAGGAAGAAAAGGAAAAGCUCCAGUAUCCAAAUGUUUCACAGCUUGUGAAAGGCAGGAAGUUCACAGGUGUGAUGGUUUUGUGAUUUUUGGUUAUUGGUAUUCCACAUCAUAACAUCAUGUAGUGCACUGGGAGUUAAAGAGUUAAUGCUCCAGUUCCGUGUACCUGUCCAGAAGAGAAGAACUACAUUCCCCAGAAGACUGUUCGCUGUUCUGUUAGCAUUCCUACUCAGGGGGAACAGAUAUAAGGCCUCAGUAGGUCACCUGACGUCCUUCUUUUCGAUCGUCAGGCUCUCUCGCUGCUGCUCGUCCCAACCGCAUGCCGUUAGUGUGCUCACUGAAAACUUGACCUUGAAAUUCCAGGCAGACUGCCAGUAUUCUGGGAUAUUUGUAAACUUUGAGCACUGCUAUCUUGCUUCUGUAAAGAGAAAAAAAAAUGAUUCCAUUUUCUCUCAGACUUGUUUCUUGAUAAAACUAAAUACCCUCAAAAUCAAACGAGACAGACUCUGAGCCAAGCUGGAGACUGAGAGCAUUGGAACUGACCAACCUGAUCAACCACAGGAGGCACCAGAAUCGAUGUCAGUUGCCCCUGUAAGAGGACAGAAAAUGAAAUGAAUCUCGACUCAGUUAGAACAGAAGAAAGAGGAGGAGGGGAAAAUAGAGGAAGCAGACACUGCAAGAGAAGAGGAGGAAAGAGGUCCAGAGGAGCAGCUCCGAGAUCAAGGGGAAGUGCCCCUGAGUCCAGGGGAGGGGCCCUCAAUAAGAUCAUGGUCACCAACACCCAGAAGGACAACAAGAAGUCCUGAAAGAGCAGGAGGUGAGCAAGACAUCGUUACCAUUACUGAUCAAUCUCUGAAAAUGGGUGAGGUCUGAGAAAAGACUUCACACCACCCAAAUGAGCCUAUUGUCACCUGGUUACUUCGAUGUUGGGACAAUGGGGCCAACAGUGUGUGGCUAGACAGUAGAGAAGCUCACCAACUGGAUGGCAUUGCUAGGGACUCAGCCAUUGACAGAGGUAUUAGUACAUGCCAGAAUGGGUCCUUCAUCCUCUGGAAGCAGAUGCUGCUAGCUGUAAAAGAAAGAUACCCCUUCAAAGAUGAUCUGAUAUCUGAGAAAAAUACAUGUACUGAUGUGGAAAAAGGCAUCUGUUAUUUGAGAGAAUAUGCUGUGGUGGAAAUGUUACAUAACCCCACAUUUGUUCCUGACGAUCCAGACCAAGAGCAUGAUCCUGAGAGAGUCAGGUGUACACCAAAUAUGUGACGUAUAUUCAGAAAGACUGCACCAGAAAGGUAUGCCAGUGCAUUUGCAGCAAUGUAUGGCAGAGGAGAAAGAAGACCCUUUAUAAAUGAACUGAUUAGUAAACUUCAAGACUUUGAAUUACGUUUAAACCCUCUAUGAGCUUGUGUUUCAGCCACUGCAAAAGUAUCUGAAAAACUGGUCAGAAUGGAGAGCAAUCAGGAAGAUAUAAUAGACAAACUGUCUAGUGUGCUUAAUGCUGAUGGAUUCAUGGUGGUAUCAGAUACAUCUGAUGAGGAUCAGGAUUCCCAAAACAGCCUACUGAAGGGACUGAUCAAAUUGGUUUCCUCGCAACCUACAUCAUCCAGUGUCUCAGCUAUCAAAAGAAGAUGUCCUCCUGCUUGUGCAAGUGACAACAGUAAGACUACAUCAUGUAUUGCCUUGUGGUGUUACCUAUGUGACCAUGGAGAAGAUACGAACAAGUGGGAUAAAAAACUCACUCCUGCACUUCAAGCACAGGUAAAAGAAUUACAAGACAGACCGACCACCAAGGUGAACUUCUCCAAAAAGGUGAUCGCUCCCGUUGCUGCAGGACAUGGCAAUAGCCAUAAGAACAACAGAGGUCAUGUCUUGGCCAUACCAGAAGAAUUUGGUUUGGAGGCAGCCUUGGAGAAGUACACAGAUGUUUGAUUUUAUCUGAAAGCUACUUUUCAAGAUAUGGAAGUCUGGAGAAUUUUACAAGAGCAUGUGAACUUUUAGCCUGUGUUUGCAAUAACAAGAUCUUUACUGGAAUAAAAAGACAUAUCUGUUGUAUACUAGCACUAGAGCUGUAAAGGCAAAGAUUUGCUCUUUAUGCAUAUACCAAAGACACUGUGGCCUCCCAUUCACCAGCCCACAGGCGAAAAAUCCUAUUCUGCAGAAAAAAAAAGAUGUUGUUCUUCCUCUUAGAUAUUUUUUCAAUAUAACUGUGUUGGGUAAGGCUUAGACCUUUGUAUUCUCCCUGAACAAAUUCCUUGUAGUGAUAACCUAUAUGAACACUGCAUUUUUGCAUCUAAUGUUUGCACCUGGAGGUCAUUUGCUAGGGUCAUAUCUCCUUGGGAUGUGCUUUCUCCUGCUUUCCUAGCAAAUAAAGGACUUGAUCUUUGUCUAUU